GAGCGGCAGCGAGGAGAAGCUUGCUUCUCUGUCGGCGAGUGGCGAACGGGUGAGUAUAGCAUCGGAACGUGCCAAGUAGUGGGGGAUAACCAAACGAAAGUUUGGCUAAUACCGCGUAAGCUCCAAGGAGGAAAGUAGGGGACCUAAAUAAGGCCUUACGCUAUUUGAUCGGCCGAUGUCGGAUUAGCUAGUUGGUGGGGUAAUGGCUCACCAAGGCAAUGAUCCGUAGCGGGUCUGAGAGGACGAUCCGCCACACUGGGACUGAGACACGGCCCAGACUCCUACGGGAGGCAGCAGUGGGGAAUUUUGGACAAUGGGGGAAACCCUGAUCCAGCCAUGCCGCGUGUAUGAAGAAGGCCUUAGGGUUGUAAAGUACUUUUGUUAGGGAAGAAAAGCUAGUCUUUAAUAAAAAUUAGUGAUGACGGUACCUAAAGAAUAAGCACCGGCUAACUACGUGCCAGCAGCCGCGGUAAUACGUAGGGUGCAAGCGUUAAUCGGAAUUAUUGGGCGUAAAGCGAGUGCAGACGGUUACUUAAGCCAGAUGUGAAAUCCCCAAGCUUAACUUGGGACGUGCAUUUGGAACUGGGUGACUAGAGUGUGUCAGAGGGAGGUAGAAUUCCACAUGUAGCGGUGGAAUGCGUAGAGAUGUGGAGGAAUACCGAUGGCGAAGGCAGCCUCGUGGGAUAACACUGAC
rnacentral:rRNA from 1 species